rnacentral:rRNA from 1 species
GAUGAACGCUGGCGGCGUGCUUAACACAUGCAAGUCGAACGGACUUUUGGUGAAACCUAGUGAUUCAAAAGUUAGUGGCGGACGGGUGAGUAACGCGUGGGUAACCUGCCUCGUACAGGGGGAUAACACUUAGAAAUAGGUGCUAAUACCGCAUAAGCGCACAGCUUCGCAUGGAGCAGUGUGAAAAACUCCGGUGGUACGAGAUGGACCCGCGUCUGAUUAGCUAGUUGGUGAGGUAACGGCCCACCAAGGCGACGAUCAGUAGCCGGCCUGAGAGGGUGAACGGCCACGAUUGGGACUGAGACACGGCCCAAACUCCUACGGGAGGCAGCAGUGGGGAAUAUUGCACAAUGGGGGGAAACCCUGAUGCAGCGACGCCGCGUGAGUGAAGAAGUAUUUCGGUAUGUAAAGCUCUAUCAGCAGGAAAGAAAAUGACGGUACCCCGAGGAGGAAAGGCCCAACGGGCUAAACUACGUG